rnacentral:rRNA from 1 species
GCUAAACGCGAAGAACCUUACCCAGGCUUGACAUGCAGAUGACUGACCUAGAAAUAGGUAGUCCCUUCGGGGCAUCUGCACAGGUGCUGCAUGGCUGUCGUCAGCUCGUGCCGUGAGGUGUUUGGUUAAGUCCAUCAACGAGCGCAACCCUUAUAGUUAGUUGAAUUUUUCUAGCUAGACUGCCCUGGCAACAGGGAGGAAGGAGGGGAUGAUGUCAGGUCAGUAUUACCCUUACGUCUGGGGCUACAAACACGCUACAAUGGCCGGUACAAAGGGCAGCCAACCCGCGAGGGGGAGCUAAUCCCAUCAAAGCCGGUCUCAGUUCGGAUUGCAGGCUGAAACUCGCCUGCAUGAAGCCGGAAUCGCUAGUAACGGUAAGUCAGCACAUUACCGUGAAUACGUUCCCGGGUCUUGUACACACCG